ACUCAGAGAGCUUCCUUGUUCCUCAGCUAUAAAAACUCUCCAUCAGGCUGUCAGUGGAGUUCACAGCACCUCACUUUCAACAUCAAGCAUGUUUUCUGGAGCUCUGCUGCUGCUGCUGGCAGCUGGAUGUGUGAAGGCUGAAACUCUGACACAGCCAGCCUCUGUGACUGUGCAGCCAGGUCAGAGUCUGACCAUCACCUGUCAGGUCUCUUAUUCACUUGGAGCCUGGACAGCCUGGAUCAGACAGCCUGCAGGGAAAGGACUGGAGUGGAUUGGGGUGAAAGGCACCGAUGCUUCAUACUACAAAGACUCACUGAGGAACAAGUUCAGCAUAGAUUUGGACACUUCCAGAAGAACAGUGACUCUAAACGGACAGAACAUGCAGCCUGCAGACUCUGCUGUGUAUUUCUGUGCCAGAGUCACACAGUGA